rnacentral:sRNA from 1 species
CUGAACCACCACCACCACCACCACCACCACCACCACCACCACCACCACCACCACCACCACCACCAACUGAUCUCUGAGUUACUAAUCCCAGCAGCUGGGCGUGCCCUCACAUACAGGCAUCUCAGAGGCUGCUUGGCUGGCCCCUGUUUUCAGAACUGGGAGCUGGUGCUGCCAUAUUGAAAAGAAGGAAAGCGCCGGCUCUGGACACAAGCUGCCUGUGUCCCAGGGGGACCGAGCGCACUCCCUUUUCCAAGAUGAGAGGAGAGAAUUCUUUACUGACUUGAAGAUACAGCACUAGAUAAGAUUACUGAAAAACCAUAUAUUUGGAGGCUUUGUGGGAACAUCAACUACAGUUGUUCAGGGGAGGUCUGAGGAUCCAAGAACAUGAGAGAACAAAAAACAACAUGAAGAAUUGGCAGGACAGUUCUGUAACCCUGGACACCACAGUGGCUCCUGUGGACUCACAGGAUGUCUGCUCAUUCUGUGCUUGACACAGGUCACACAGCUUUGGCUCAGAAGGUCUCCUGAUUGUUAUUCAUCUUCGUCUAGGAGUCCCGACAGAUUAGCAUCCUGCUAAGGUUCACUGUCCAGUAAACCCCAAGGACUGAGUUUUAAAACUUCUAAUGCUUUUGCGAAGUGCUUUCCCCACUCUUACACAGUUCAGAACCCUCCACCUAGUUAAUGGAGUUACUGAGAAUGGGUGGAUCUUUCCACUUUGAUUAAUGCAGUGAAGAUAAGCACCCCCAUGCAGACAUAACCAAAGACCAAUUUAAUAUAGAAAAUUCCUCAUUGCAGCUCACUUUCCAGGUGAUUUUAGAUUCUUUCAAGUUGACGUUUACAAUUAGCCAUCUCAAUUAACAAUAGAUUCUGAACUUAUAAGCACCAACAUCAUGCUAAAUGACAGCUAGGGUGAAAAGGUGUAUUCAACCAAGAGUGACCUCUGAGUUUCUCUUCUCUGUGAACAAUAUGAUGUUUAGUAGCUGAGACAGAUGGGAAAUCUGACAGGGUUGAGAUGCCUAGGGCAAAAGUUGGCAGGCUUGAUUUUUCUCCCUGCUUCCCAGAAGUAGCUUAUUCUGAUGUGUAAUGAAUCUGCAACUCAGCAAUCUUGACUUUUGUCUAGGUUCUGGAGCAAAGUUUUAUUAUAACAAAUUUAUGUGACAAUUUAUUUUGUUCCUCAAUUGUGGGUAUUUUCCAUUUAUGUACACUUAGUGGCUCCCAAAGCAGGUAUGCUAUGUUUUAUAUUCAUAGUUAAUAAGCAAAAUUUUCAGUAUAUGAAUUAAUAUCGGUAUAAAAAACCUAUUUGCAUACCCCACCUAAAAUUCUUUGAAAUCCCAAGGAAAUUCUUGGAUAACUAAACAGAUAGCUACACAUACACCUUUGAGAUAUGUGAUGAGUACUAGGCAGUGCUAGCUGUGCCAUAGUUCCUAUUGUCUGUCAUUUGGGCACCUCAUUUCCAUAACCAAAAUCCCAACUUAUAUAAAAGUCAACAUACAAAGAAAGUUCUUAAAAAAAAAAAACUACUUUAGCCAUUUGUCUUUAAUCGAGCAUCUAUACUGGUUUCUGCUGGCAAAUUCAAAGCAUGAAUAGUGAAGUGAUAAAGAUUUAAAAUCUAAAGGCUUAUGUACCUUCUAACCUCUUGCCAAGAAGGAAGGAAUGUUCUUAUUGCCCAAUACUAACUGGGUUCUUUUGGACUGCUCAGUAGAUCUCCAGGUGCUGUUAGCAUUAGUGGUGCUGCAAACUGAUUAUUCUUCCAAUGGUCUGUGCCUCUGUUAAUCUGUGUAUCUCCUCUCUGACUUUCACUCUUCUCUACAAUUGAGCAACAUUCUAGUUCUUAGAAUCCUAAGCCUUCCAAUUUUGUAUCACCUUGUGAAUAUCCAAAGCCUCAUCAUUUUUAAAAAAUUCCUAGCAUUCCUUAGGUUUCCUUUUCCAUGUUUGUUUUGAGCAAUGAGACUAGAAACAUCUGGGAGUGGCAAAGAGAUGAACAGAAGACUCAAAGUCAAAUUGGGACUUCAGAAAGCGGCAGAAAUAUUGGGUACAAGGUUAAUUCCCAAAUAACAAGAAAGAUGAUUUAAAAAGUAGUUGAUGAAGACAAAGAAUUUUUAAUGAUGCAUUGCACUUACACACAUGUCUAGAAGCAUGCAUGCAUGCAUACACACUUAUACAAUUUACACAUCAAAUACACACAUGCACACACACAUGUACACAUACGUAUACACAAGUACACACAUGCACAUACAUAUGAUUAUAAGCAUGUAUGCAAAUACAUGCUGUAAAUAUACAUGCAGACACAUUAAUACAUGUAUCCAUACAUGCAUGCACACACAGAGACCACAUUACUUCAUUAGAAUUUUAAUGCUAUUUGUUAAGGUAAUAGAGAAAGGAAAAACUUUACAUUUUCUUGAAUCUGAAACUAAAAAAUAGUAAUAAUUUGAGUUCACUUGGACAAGCUUGUUCAAGUUUGUCAUUUUUAAAAGUAAAUGUGGAAUUAUGACAAAACAGCAUAUUUGUUUAUAGAAACAUAAAGCCGAAUUUUUUUGUUGUUUGUGUCUAUGAUUUCAGAGUUGACCAUUUCAUAUUGGGCAACUGAGUAGGGAGGUCAACUCUGAGAGAGGCAAGUUUCUCCUCUCAGCACUUAUCAUUGCUUAUAGCUCUUUGUCUAGGAGUGGGAUACCUUGAAAUUAUUCCUUCUUGCAUAUUAGAAUGUCUAUUGAUUCCAUCAUUAUUCAGGUCUUAUUUGUGCAGCCAUUUUUAGGAGACACAGUUUCAUAGCAGUAUCUGUGUGUAGCUUAAAUAAAGUUAUGCCCACUUGAGUUGACAAUGCCCACAAGAGGCAUAUAGAUUAUCGAACAAAACCCCAGUGUUGGGCACAAAAAAAUUCUUUGCAUUGUUAAUGAGGAUAUUUCAAAUCAUUGUGAAAUAUUAAAAUGUUUUUCUAUAUAUAAUAAAUUUUAGUAAUUUU